GUUUGGAGCAUCAUUCUGGAGAUAUGCUCUAGGACUCCAGAAGCAUUGAAGCCAGCGACUUUCAUAAAUGAAGUUAUGACCGCGUGACAGAAGAGAGAAGUCGCCGAACAGGACAAAUAUUUUCAUAAUGGUUUUGCUGUUUUCAUUCCUUUAAAUAUCAAGUAAUAAUAUUUUUAAUGUUUUUGUAAACAUGAGAUGUUUUAAUGCUUGAAAAAUUGUAUCUCAUAAAUAAGCUUUAUUAUCUGUCAAAAAGGAUGAAAAUAUAACUUUACAUUUCUGUCUUAAAGUAAUUUUAGUGCCUAUUAGCUAUAAAGUAACAGUUAUAUAUAAUUUAGAGUAUGUAGUCACUCGAAACAACUUGACAUUUUCACACAAACAGAGAACCGUAAUAAUAGUCUUGGGAUUUCAUUGGAAGUACGCACCCCUACAGGAUAUUAAAAUAACUUACGGUGCACUGUAAUUCUUGUUUUGUAUUUGUCCAAGUAGUUGUGAAGCAAGCUAUAAAGUAGUGAAAUAAAAACCUAAGCUCCAACUGCA